rnacentral:rRNA from 1 species
AGAGUUGGAGAGGAAGAUGGAAUUAGUUGUGUAGGGGUAAAAUCCGUAGAGAUAACUAGGAAUACCAAAAGCGAAGGCAAUCUUCUGGAACACUACUGACGCUGAGGCGCGAAAGCGUGGGGAGCAAACAGGAUUAGAUACCCUGGUAGUCCACGCCCUAAACGAUGAAUGUUUAGUCGUCGGGAGGCUUGUCCUUUCGGUGAUGCAGUUAAACACAUUAAACAUUCCGCCUGGGGAGUACGGUCGCAAGAUUAAAACUCAAAGGAAUAGACGGGGACCCGCACAAGUGGUGGAGCAUGUGGUUUAAUUCGAAGAUACGCGAAGAACCUUACCUAGCCUUGACAUAUAUUAGAACUCCGCAGAGAUGCAGAGGUGCCUUCGGGAGCUUUUAUACAGGUGCUGCACGGCUGUCGUCAGCUCGUGUCGUGAGAUGUUGGGUUAAGUCCCGCAACGAGCGCAACCCUCGUUCUUAGUUACUAACGGUUCGGCCGAGGACUCUAAGAAGACUGCCUUCGUAAGGAGGAGGAAGGUGAGGACGACGUCAAGUCAUCAUGGCCCUUACGGCUAGGGCAACACACGUAAAACGACGGCCAGGACAAUGAGACGCAAUACCGCGAGGUGGAGCAAAUCUAUAAACCUGGUCUCAGUUCGGAUUGUAGUCUGCAACUCGACUACAUGAAGCUGGAAUCACUAGUAAUCGUAGAUCAGCUAUGCUACGGUGAAUACGUUCCCGGGUCUUGUACUCACCGCCCGUCACACCAUGGGAGUUGAUUUCACCCGAAGCGGGGAAGCUAAACUGGCUACCCUCCACGGUGGAAUUAGCGACUGGGGUGAAGUGGUAACAAGGUAACCAAGGGCGAA